CAGAGGAGACGAUCGGGGAGGGGGGAUCUGGAGAUGUUUGUAGAUAUUUGGGAAGAUUUGUGGGGAUCUGGGGCAAUGAUGUGGACGUGUCACACUUAACUGUCUACCUAUUGAGAUGGAAGCUUGGAUAGAUUUUGUGCUGUAAAACCAGUCUGCGGGACAGAUCUUUAGUUUGUUCCUACAUGAGCGAAUGGAAUGAAUCUUCUUACUAUGAUGACAUUAUGUUUCCUGCUGCUAAGGCAGACGGUAGAAGAAGAGGAGAUGAGUCAGCCGCGACAUGAGGCUCUGUGAGUAGCAGUCACUGACAGCACAACAUGCCACCACAAGCCCACAUGAGACUGUCGCCACACGCUUCCAAGAGGACACCCUUGUGGCACUGUCUUCCAUCAAGAGGACACAUUUUGUAAACAAACUUGCAGGCUGAUGUCACACGCUGUCAUUACCUUUGCGAGUGCACCUGUGUGUUUGUGUGUGUGUGUGUUUGAGGGGGUGCUCAAGCCACUGUCAGUUGGCGGUGGCAUCAAGUCCUCACUUGCAGUUGUGCCACUUAGCUAACGUGUGUCUUGUGUGUGUGUGUCACAAUACCUCCCUGCUCCUCCCUCCUCCCCCGAAUUCUGUGUGAGAACAUCACCCCCCCCUGAUUCCCAGACAUGAACACAUCCCAUCCAGAAGCUCACAGCCAAUCAAGCCUUUCACACUUCCUGUGCAAUGACGUGAUGAGUCGUGAAGAGCUGAUAAUGGCAAAGAUCUCACAGUCAUCAACGAGGGUGUAAUGAGGGCUCAUGCUGUCCGUUUGAAGUGGUGAUCAGACAAAUCAGUUCCUGUGUGCUAAAUGUCCUCUUCACCUGGUGAGAGUCCUACAUUGCUGUGAUUGCCUCGUCUUUGAUGGUCAUCUUGAAAUAUUGUAUAUAUCUCCUUUUUUAAUCAUUUUUUCAAGUAUGUUGAAUCAGACAAUGUAGAACUUACAACAAUGUAGAUCAGAACAAUACAAACUAGGCUUAUUUUGCACUUACAGCCUAAUUCAACAUUUCCGUAAAAAUGUUGAAUAACAAAAACCUAAAAAGUGUGUCAUAUCAGCCCAUUACUUGUGUAACUGUCCAUGCUCCAUAUUGUUUGGCACACUUGUUUUUGUGGAAGAGAAACAGUUCUUAACUCACGUCACACUUGCUCAGGCUGACAAAAACAACAUUAGAACACAUGCAUAC